rnacentral:rRNA from 1 species
AGAGUUUGAUCCUGGCUCAGAUUGAACGCUGGCGGCAUGCUUUACACAUGCAAGUCGAACGGCAGCACGGGCUUCGGCCUGGUGGCGAGUGGCGAACGGGUGAGUAAUGCAUCGGAACGUGCCCAUGUCGUGGGGGAUAACGUAGCGAAAGCUACGCUAAUACCGCAUACGCCCUGAGGGGGAAAGCGGGGGAUUCUUCGGAACCUCGCGCGAUUGGAGCGGCCGAUGUCGGAUUAGCUAGUAGGUGAGGUAAAGGCUCACCUAGGCGACGAUCCGUAGCGGGUCUGAGAGGAUGAUCCGCCACACUGGGACUGACACGGCCCAGACUCCUACGGGAGGCAGCAGUGGGGAAUUUUGGACAAUGGGGGCAACCCUGAUCCAGCCAUGCCGCGUGAGUGAAGAAGGCCUUCGGGUUGUAAAGCUCUUUCGGCCGGGAAGAAAUCGGCGACUCUAACAUAGUCGCUGGAUGACGGUACCGGACUAAGAAGCACCGGCUAACUACGUGCCAGCAGCCGCGGUAAUACGUAGGGUGCGAGCGUUAAUCGGAAUUACUGGGCGUAAAGCGUGCGCAGGCGGUUUUGUAAGACAGAUGUGAAAUCCCCGGGCUUAACCUGGGAACUGCGUUUGUGACUGCAAGGCUAGAGUACGGCAGAGGGGGGUGGAAUUCCACGUGUAGCAGUGAAAUGCGUAGAGAUUUGGAGGAACACCGAUGGCGAAGCAGCCCCCUGGGCCUGUACUGACGCUCAUGCACGAAAGCGUGGGGAGCAAACAGAUUCGAUACCCUGGUAGUCCACGCCCUAAACGAUGUUCGACUAGUCGUUCGGAGCAGCAAUGCACUGGGUGACGCAGCUAACGCGUGAAGUCGACCGCCU